rnacentral:rRNA from 1 species
UACAGAGGGUGCGAGCGUUAAUCGGAAUUACUGGGCGUAAAGCGCGCGUAGGCGGCUUUUCAAGUCGAUUGUGAAAUCCCCGGGCUUUAACCUGGGAACUGCAGUCGAGACUGUCUAGCUAGAGUAUGGGAGAGGGAAGUGGAAUUUCAGGUGUAGCGGUGAAAUGCGUAGAUAUCUGAAGGAACAUCAGUGGCGAAAGCGACUUCCUGGACCAAUACUGACGCUCAUGUGCGAAAGCGUGGGGAGCAAACAGG